rnacentral:lncRNA from 1 species
AGGGACACUCAGCAUUCAUAAAAUUCUUUACGGUAAUUUAAGUCCCAGCACCGUUCCGGUGCAUUAAGGAUGCAUGUUCGCUCCCAGCUGAAAGAUGACUUAAGUUCAGAGAAAAGAGACUGGCUGACAGAGAGUUGUUUUUCUAAACGUCUGUUUGAAUGCAAAGUUGUUUGAAUGCAAAGUCUCGUGUUCAUCAGUUCAAGGAAGCUCCUUGCUGAAUGACAUUCAGGGCUUAAUCCACCAAAGUUGGAGCGAUCUGCCCUUGGCAUUUCAUAACCACGCUCAGCUUUCUAUCUCUCGGCCAUUGUGUUGUCAAAAGCCUCAUAUUCUUGUUUGCACGACCAGUUUAAAGAGAAGCUUUGUCUCCACAGACAGACUGUGGCUCCAUCUGGCCCUGCCACCAAGAGCCGUGUGAUUCCAGAUGGAAAAAUCUCCAUCCCUCCCCCUAUUUCCAAAGCAGCUCCCACCCCCAUUGUUUUAUCUGCAGCCAAUAGCACAGACCCUGCACAAACUGUCUCAGCAGGGGCGGAAAGAUCCACUAAUGGGGGAACAACUCAUCUUUUCUUCCAUCCUUAAACCCUGUGCUGUGUGAAUGGAAAACAUGAACACAUCUGGCUGGACUCGUUGAAACGAGGGGUGUUGGGGCAGAGAAGCUGGGGAGGGCCUGCCUUUACCACAGAAGAUGUUAAGGAAAAGGCUUUUGUUGCUCUCAAGGAAAAUUAGAAUUUCAGAUGGUGACUGGAGUGAUUCAACCAUCUCAACUUUUUUUUUCUCUUCAAAAGACAUCGUUCGGGAACCCCAAAUAUUUGGCUGGAAUCUUCCGGCGAUGACCAGCUUUCUUCCAGGAGGCUACAAGAGAGGCCAGAUUUUUGGUAACCUGUUGACCAUGCUGAAGUUUAUGUGAGCCCUGGGCUCCCAGAGAGCUAUGAUGAGAAGCAAAUUGCAGAGGACCUUCCUGCCUUCAUAGAUUCAGCAUUCCCCACCCCCUCUUGCCCCCACCCCUAUAGGACUUGUCAUCUACUCUCCUCCCCACUCUCUUGCCUCUGUAAAGCCCCAGGCCCUCCUUCCUUUCCUCUGAGAUGUUCCUCUGUGUUCAUGAAUGUCCUCCCUAUUGCAACAGCCUGAAUAAAGUCAUCUCCUCCGGUGCA